AAGGUUUGGUCCUAGCCUUAAAAUCAAUUUUUACUUAAUUUACACAUGCAAGUAUCCGCACCCCUGUGAAAACGCCCUUAAAUCCCCAUUAGGGAUAAGGAGCUGGUAUCAGGCACAUCAAUAUUGCCCAAGACACCUAGCUAUGCCACACCCACAAGGGACUCCAGCAGUGAUUAACAUUGAACAUCAGCGUCAGCUUGAUUCAGUUAAAGUAAAUAGGGCCGGCUAAUCUGGUGCCAGCCGCCGCGGUUACACCAUGUGGCUCAAAUUGAUUCUUGUCGGCGUAAAGAGUGAUUUAAGACCCCCCCCACCCUUGGCGUUAAAUCUGCACUAAGCCGUGACACGCUUGUUCCCCAGAAACCCAAAAACGAAAGUUACCCCAACUCAACCAACUUGAACUCACGACAACCAAGAAACAAACUGGGAUUAGAUACCCUACUAUGCUUGGUAGUAAACCUUAAAUUACACCCAAAUCGCCCGGAAACUACGAGCAAAGCUUAAAACCCAAAGGACUUGACGGUACCCCAAAUCCACCUAGAGGAGCCUGUUCUAUAAUCGAUAACCCCCGUUUUACCUCACCAACUCUAGCCAAUCAGUCUGUAUACCUCCGUCGUCAGCUUACCUCGUGAGCGAAAUAUAGUGAGCUUAAUGCUUCUCCACCCAUACGUCAGGUCAAGGUGCAACUUACGAGAUGGAAUGAAAUGGGCUACACUCCCUAACCUAGGACACACGAAAAACUACUUAUGAAAUCUAGUUUGAAGGCGGAUUUAGAAGUAAAGAGAAACUAGAGUGUUCUUUUUAACUCGGCACUGGGGUGUGUACACACCGCCCGUCACCCUCUUCAAAGUCUACCUACAGUGUUUUACCCCUAAUAAUAUAACAGAAGAGGCAAGUCGUAACAUGGUAAGUAUACCGGAAGGUGUGCUUGGAAA
rnacentral:ncRNA from 1 species